AGCCAUGCGAGUCAUUGUAGCAAUACAAGGCAGACGGCUCAGUAACGCGUAGUCAAUCUACCCUGUUGACGGGGAUAACCUCGGGAAACUGAGAAUAAUACCCGAUAGAACAUUAUGCCUGGAAUGGUUUAUGUUUCAAAUGAUUUAUCGCAAUAGGAUGGGACUGCGGCCUAUCAGUUUGUUGGUGAGGUAAUGGCCCACCAAGACUAUUACAGGUACGGGCUCUGAGAGGAGUGGCCCGGAGAUGGGUACUGAGACACGGACCCAGGCCCUAUGGGGCGCAGCAGGCGAGAAAACUUUGCAAUGUGCGAAAGCACGACAAGGUUAAUCCGAGUGGUUUCUGCUAAAGAAACCUUUUGUCAGUCCUAGAAACACUGAUGAAUAAGGGGUGGGCAAGUUCUGGUGUCAGCCGCCGCGGUAAAACCAGCACCUCAAGUGGUCAGGAUGAUUAUUGGGCCUAAAGCAUCCGUAGCUUGUUUUGUAAGUUUUCGGUUAAAUCCAUACGCUUAACGUAUGGGCUGCCGGGAAUACUGCAUAACUAGGAAGUGGGAGAGGUAGACGGUACUCGGUAGGAAGGGGUAAAAUCCUUUGAUCUAUUGAUGACCACCUGUGGCGAAGGCGGUCUACCAGAACACGUUCGACGGUGAGGGAUGAAAGCUGGGGGAGCAAACCGGAUUAGAUACCCGGGUAGUCCCAGCUGUAAACUAUGCAAACCCAGUGAUGCAUUGGCUUGUGGCCAAUGCAGUGCUGCAGGGAAGCCGUUAAGUUUGCCGCCUGGGAAGUACGUACGCAAGUAUGAAACUUAAGGGAAUUGGCGGGGGAGCACCACAAGGGGUGAAGCCUGCGGUUCAAUUGGAGUC
rnacentral:rRNA from 1 species